rnacentral:rRNA from 1 species
UACGUAGGGGCAAGCGUUGUCCGGAAUUAUUGGGCGUAAAGAGCGUGUAGGCGGUCCGGUAAGUCAGCUGUGAAAGUCAAGGGCUCAACCCUUGAAUGCCGGUUGAUACUGUCGGGCUAGAGUCCGGAAGAGGCGAGUGGAAUUCCCGGUGUAGCGGUGAAAUGCGCAGAUAUCGGGAGGAACACCAAUGGCGAAGGCAGCUCGCUGGGACGGUACUGACGCUGAGACGCGAAAGCGUGGGAGCAACAGGAUAG